AAAUUGAAGAGUUUGAUCAUGGCUCAGAUUGAACGCUGGCGGCAGGCCUAACACAUGCAAGUCGAACGGUAACAGGAAGCAGCUUGCUGCUUUGCUGACGAGUGGCGGACGGGUGAGUAAUGUCUGGGAAACUGCCUGAUGGAGGGGGAUAACUACUGGAAACGGUGGCUAAUACCGCAUAACGUCGCAAGACCAAAGAGGGGGACCUUCGGGCCUCUUGCCAUCAGAUGUGCCCAGAUGGGAUUAGCUUGUUGGUGAGGUAACGGCUCACCAAGGCGACGAUCCCUAGCUGGUCUGAGAGGAUGACCAGCCACACUGGAACUGAGACACGGUCCAGACUCCUACGGGAGGCAGCAGUGGGGAAUAUUGCACAAUGGGCGCAAGCCUGAUGCAGCCAUGCCGCGUGUAUGAAGAAGGCCUUCGGGUUGUAAAGUACUUUCAGCGGGGAGGAAGGUGUUGUGGUUAAUAACCGCAGCAAUUGACGUUACCCGCAGAAGAAGCACCGGCUAACUCCGUGCCAGCAGCCGCGGUAAUACGGAGGGUGCAAGCGUUAAUCGGAAUUACUGGGCGUAAAGCGCACGCAGGCGGUCUGUCAAGUCGGAUGUGAAAUCCCCGGGCUCAACCUGGGAACUGCAUUCGAAACUGGCAGGCUUGAGUCUUGUAGAGGGGGGUAGAAUUCCAGGUGUAGCGGUGAAAUGCGUAGAGAUCUGGAGGAAUACCGGUGGCGAAGGCGGCCCCCUGGACAAAGACUGACGCUCAGGUGCGAAAGCGUGGGGAGCAAACAGGAUUAGAUACCCUGGUAGUCCACGCCGUAAACGAUGUCUACUUGGAGGUUGUGCCCUUGAGGCGUGGCUUCCGGAGCUAACGCGUUAAGUAGACCGCCUGGGGAGUACGGCCGCAAGGUUAAAACUCAAAUGAAUUGACGGGGGCCCGCACAAGCGGUGGAGCAUGUGGUUUAAUUCGAUGCAACGCGAAGAACCUUACCUGGUCUUGACAUCCACAGAAUUCUGCAGAGAUGCGGAAGUGCCUUCGGGAACUGUGAGACAGGUGCUGCAUGGCUGUCGUCAGCUCGUGUUGUGAAAUGUUGGGUUAAGUCCCGCAACGA
rnacentral:rRNA from 1 species